UACAGAGGUCCCAAGCGUUGUUCGGAUUUACUGGGCGUAAAGGGUGCGUAGGUGGUCGGAUAAGUCUGAUGUGAAAUCUCCGAGCUUAACUCGGAAAUGGCAUUGGAAACUAUUCGACUAGAGAGUUGGAGGGGGGACUGGAAUACUUGGUGUAGCAGUGAAAUGCGUAGAUAUCAAGUGGAACACCAGUGGCGAAGGCGAGUCCCUGGACAACUUCUGACACUGAGGCACGAAAGCUAGGGGAGCAAACAGG
rnacentral:rRNA from 1 species